rnacentral:lncRNA from 1 species
AGCUGGCUGGAUUUCUUUUGCGGCUUCGAGGCUCGUGGAACGGUGAACGUGCGGGCUGGCUUCGGUGGAUGGAGGGACGCGUGGAGAAGCUGCAGGAGCGGCCGAUGCUGGCGUCGAUGGGUGGUCAACACCAAGGGAUUCAAGGGAGCGUUGAUGCUGGAUGGUUAACUCGGUGGACGUGGGGUGAUGGUGGAAGAUGGGAUGAUGAUAGAUGGUGAUGAUGUGGUGGUGGAGAUGGAUGGGUGAUGAGGACGAAAUGAUAGUGGAGGCCUGCGUUUGUGGCCGACCAAGAAGAGAAAUGGAGCACGUGGGGGGGAAAGAAAAUGGUUGAGACGGUGGCCUUCCCU